rnacentral:rRNA from 1 species
UACGUAGGGCGCGAGCGUUGUCCGGAUUUAUUGGGCGUAAAGGGCUUGUAGGCGGCUUGUCGCGUCGGCUGUGAAAACCCGUGGCUCAACUCCGGGCCUGCAUUCGAUACGGGCGGGCUAGAGUACGGCAGGGGAGACUGGAAUUCCUGGUGUAGCGGUGGAAUGCGCAGAUAUCAGGAGGAACACCGGUGGCGAAGGCGGGUCUCUGGGCCGUUACUGACGCUGAGGAGCGAAAGCGUGGGGAGCGAACAGG